rnacentral:rRNA from 1 species
UACAGAGGUGCCAAGCGUUAGGCGGAAUCACUGGGCUUAAAGCGCGCGUAGGCGGACGUUUAAGUGUCUUGUGAAAUCCCACGGCUCAACCGUGGAACUGCUGGGCAUACUGGACGUCUCGAGGCACUCAGGGGCGAGCGGAACAAGUGGUGGAGCGGUGAAAUGCGUAGAUAUCAAGAGGAACACCUGAGGUGAAGACGGGUUGCUGGGCCAACACUGACGCUGAGGCGCGAAAGCGUGGGGAGCAAACAGG